UACGAAGGGGGCUAGCGUUGUUCGGAAUUACUGGGCGUAAAGCGUAUGCAGGCGGAUCGUUAAGUCGGGGGUGAAAUCCCGAGGCUCAACCUCGGAACUGCCUUCGAUACUGGCGACCUUCGAGUCCGGGAGAGGUGAGUGGAACUCCGAGUGUAGAGGUGAAAUUCGUAGAUAUUCGGAAGAACACCAGUGGCGAAGGCGGCUCACUGGCCCGGUACUGACGCGUGAGAUACGAAAGCGUGGGGAGCAAACAGG
rnacentral:rRNA from 1 species